AGUGAACGCUGGCGGCAGGCCUAACACAUGCAAGUCGAGCGGCAGCGGGUCGUAGCAAUACGAUGCCGGCGAGCGGCGGACGGGUGAGGAACACAUCGGAAUCUACCCAGUCGUGGGGGAUAACGUAGGGAAACUUACGCUAAUACCGCAUACGACCUGAGGGUGAAAGCAGGGGACCGCAAGGCCUUGCGCGAUUGGAUGAGCCGAUGUCGGAUUAGCUAGUUGGUGGGGUAAAGGCCCACCAAGGCGACGAUCCGUAGCUGGUCUGAGAGGAUGAUCAGCCACACUGGAACUGAGACACGGUCCAGACUCCUACGGGAGGCAGCAGUGGGGAAAUAUUGGACAAUGGGCGCAAGCCUGAUCCAGCCGUGCCGCGUGUGUGAAGAAGGCCUCGGUUGUAAAGCACUUUGUCCGGGUAAGAAAUGCUUCCGACCUAAUACGUCGGGAAGGCUGACGGUACCGGAAGAAUUAAGCACCGGCUAACUUCGUGCCAGCAGCCGCGGUAAUACGAAGGGCUGCAA
rnacentral:rRNA from 1 species